rnacentral:lncRNA from 1 species
AUGUCCAAGCGUGCCCGAGACGUCGAGCUCGACCGGCUGGUGUAUGACAAGCCGCUCGAUGGCAGGGACGCCUCCCCGCCUGGCCGUGGUGUGCUAGAGCUGCUCCCUAAUGUCCCCAGCUACCGAGCCACCGCUGCCUCCCGCAUCCCCGUCCUUGCCACCACCAAGCCAAAGGCUGGAGUUGUCAACCCCAAUUUUUGUAAUGAGGAGCAAUCCCCCCUAGGCAAUUACCCCACUGUGGACAUCAAUGAUGUGGACAGCGAAGGCAAUGCUGUGGAGAACGAUGGUACCCACUUACCAGUGCCCCCCGCCAACGCUCCCAACAUGCUGGCGGUGCCCGGCACGGUACCGGCAUCCCCCAGCCCAGAAAUGAAAAUUGUCCUGUGACAAGCAGCUCGUCGCUGGAGAGCGGUUGAGGCUCACAUCCUCGGCCGCAGAGCGCUCGGGAUCAGUCUGGGGAAACACCUUUGGCAGUCGCUGCUCGGGAUGCAUUUUUCUCUCUCAAGUUAAUGAACAGGACAGGCUAUUUUUCUGAGACAGACGAGUCCAUGUUUUCUAGUCCCAUCAGCAGGCACGCAGCUCUCGCUCUGAGUCAGGGUCAAGGUGAUAGACUUUCUCCUAUGCCUUCAACUGACAGAAAUUGGACAACCAUUCUGAUUAACGCCCGUGUCAUGCAUCCCAGCGUAUCUUGGUCAUCUUUGGAGCCCAGGGUCCAGCAACCCAAAGGCACAACCUUAGUUUAUUUAGAGCCACCUAUCUAUGUGCAAUUCUAUCCCCAACAUCAUUUUUUAUCAAAUCUUUUAUCAAGACCUUAUUGCAGCCUUUCAAUAGGCUUAUAAGAAAGACAGAGACAGACAUCUUCCAGGGCGCGUAGUGACAGAACAAGGUGCGAUGGUGUUAAACUGAAAGAGGGUAGGUUUAGGCUAGAUGUAAGGAAGAAAUUCUUUACUGCGAAGGUGGUGAGACACUGCCCAGAGAGGUUGUGGCUGCCUCCUCCCUGGAAGUGUUCUAGGCCAGCUUGGACAGGGCUUUGAGCAACCUGAUCUAGUGGAAGAUGUCCCUGCCCAUGGCAGGGCGUUGGACUUGAUGGUCUUCAAAGGUCCCUUCCAACCCAAACCAUUCUGUGAUCCGAUGGUUCCCCAGCAGAGCUAUUUUUUGGAGCACCUCAGUUUUCUCAUGCUAUUUUCUACCAGUUUCUUAAAGCAGUUGUGUAUUUGCGGUUACAUGUAUGAGCAUAUGAACCUUUCUGCCGUGUCUCUAGGUAGUGUCUCAAGACAACACUGGAGGUCCCUUGUAGAGCUAGAGACUGUUGAAAGCAAGCAACUCUUGUGUCGCUACAUAAAGAAAUAAAAUUUCAUCAUUGUGAACCAGAAGGAAAAUCUUGGCUCCAGCUGGUGUUUUCAGAGGAAGAGGACAUCAACUCUACAUUGAGCAAUCAUCCAUUUAUCUUAAGUCACUUCUGUUGGCCACAGUCUUGAGGUUUUUUCCCAUGUGAGACUGUGAAAGAUUAAGGUUAACCAAAGACAGACGAGCCACACGUUGUCUCAUUGGAAACAACCUCUUGCAGGUGAUAAAUACCAGGACAAUGCCAUGUGGGCAGGGGCCCCCGUGAGGGACCCUGGACACCCUCUGGGCAGGCACAGGACAGCCUGGUGCUUAUGGCUGCAGCUUUCCAAGGGCAUUUUUAGGCUGCCACGGGGUCUUCCAUCCCAGCUGGCUGUUGGGUGUCUGGUUGCAUGGGGACCGGUGCCACAGAGCUACCUGAGCACAGCUGGAGGCUUUGCUUCUGGGCAGCAGCAGAGCAGCCACCAUGGUCCACACCAAUGGCCAAGCCCAGGCAGUGACUGCGGGCCUCGUGCUGCUCAUGCUAUAGCUUUAUUUAGACAAUUGCACUCUCUACCUGGUCUCUUGAGGUGGUAAUUUACAUUUUUAUUGUUUGUAUUCAAAUUCUUUCAUGCUUGGUUUUCUGCAUAUUUGUGCAGGGGAGAUCGUGCAGCUCUUUGUACCUGUGCUGUGCAUCUCCACUUCUCAAUUUAUUUACUAUUAAUUAAUUAAUAAUUUAAUUACUCAUUUACUCUUUCACCUUUAGCUUUUACUUGGUCUACAUGUGCUCCUCCUCCUCACUAACUAUGCAUC